rnacentral:rRNA from 1 species
AUACGGAAGGUCCGGGCGUUAUCCGGAUUUAUUGGGUUUAAAGGGAGCGCAGGCGGAGAUGCAAGCGUGACGUCAAAUUUCGGGGCUCAACCCCGUCUCGCGUCGCGAACUGCGUCCCUUGGUUGCGGGAAGGGGAGGCGGAACUCGGGGUGUAGCGGUGGAAUGCAUAGAUAUCACGAAGAACCACGAUUGCGAAGGCAGCCUUCCGGCCCGUCAACGACGCUCAUGCUCGAAGGUGCGGGUAUCAAACAGGAUUAGAUACCCUGGUAGUCCGCACAGUAAACGAUGGACACCCGCGGUUUGGCCUGUAUGGCUGAGCCGCCAAGCGAAAGCGUUAAGUGUCCCACCUGGGGAGUACGCCGGCAACGGUGAAACUCAAAGGAAUUGACGGGG